rnacentral:rRNA from 1 species
UACAUAGGUGCGAGCGUUGUCCGGAUUUAUUGGGUUUAAAGGGUGCGUAGGCGGUCUAUUAAGUCAGUGCUGAAAUAUCCCGGCUUAACCGGGAGGGUGGCAUUGAUACUGAUGGACUUGAGUGCAGUCGAGGUAGGCGGAAUUGACGGUGUAGCGGUGAAAUGCUUAGAUAUCGUCAAGAACACCGAUAGUGUAGACAGCUUACUAGGCUGUAACUGACGCUGAGGCACGAAAGUGUGGGGAUCAAACAGGAUUAGAAACCCCAGUAGUCC